rnacentral:rRNA from 1 species
UACGAAGGGGGCUAGCGUUGCUCGGAAUCACUGGGCGUAAAGGGUGCGUAGGCGGGUCUUAAGUCAGGGGUGAAAUCCUGGAGCUCAACUCCAGAACUGCCUUUGAUACUGAAGAUCUUGAGUUCGGGAGAGGUGAGUGGAACUGCGAGUGUAGAGGUGAAAUUCGGUAGAUAUUCGCAAGAACACCAGUGGCGAAGGCGGCUCACUGGCCCGAUACUGACGCUGAGGCACGAAAGCGUGGGGAGCAACAGG